UCUGCCUCGACGUGGGGGAUAACGUACGGAAACUUACACUAAUACCGCAUACGUCCUACGGGAGAAAGCGGGGGACCUUCGGGCCUCACGCGGUGAGACGAGCCGAUGUUCGAUUAGCUAGUUGGGAGGGUAAUGGCCUACCAAGGCGACGAUCGAUAGCUGGUCUGAGAGGAUGAUCAGCCACACUGGAACUGAGACACGGUCCACACUCCUACGGGAGGCAGCAGUGGGGAAUAUUGGACAAUGGGCGCAAGCCUGAUCCAGCCAUGCCGCGUGUGUGAAGAAGGCCUUCGGGUUGUAAAGCACUUUUAUCAAGAGCGAAAUACUACCGGUUAAUAACCGGUGGGGCUGACGGUACCUGAAGAAUAAGCACCGGCUAACUUCGUGCCAGCAGCCGCGGUAAUACGAAGGGUGCAAGCGUUAAUCGGAAUUACUGGGCGUAAAGGGUGCGUAUGCGGUUGUUUAAGUCUGUUGUGAAAUCCCCGGGCUCAACCUGGGAAUGGCAAUGGAUACUGGACACCUAAAGUGUGUCAGAGGAUGGUGGAAUUCCCGGUGUAUGGGUGAAUUGCUUAGAGAUCGGCAGGAACAUCAGUGGCUAAGGCGGC
rnacentral:rRNA from 1 species